rnacentral:ncRNA from 1 species
UUUUUUAAGAGUUUGAUCCUGGCUCAGGAUGAACGCUGGCGGCGUGGAUAAGGCAUGCAAGUCGAACGGGCCGCAUCUCAUGGUGUGUGAUGCGGAAAUUCGAAGCACGAAAUACGAAAUACGAAACAAACACUAAUGACCAAAAUACAAAUGACAAAAACAGCUGUUUGUAGUUUCUAUCAUUUGAAUUUAGAAUUUGUUUCGAAUUUCGAUAUUCGAAUUUCGAGUUUUCCGCAAUCGCGCUUCGCGCGAUGCGGCUAGUGGCAGACGGGUUAGUAACACGUAGGUAGCUACCCCCCACUUGAGAAUAAGCCACCGAAAGGUGGUCUAAUACUCAAUGGUCUCGUAAGAGUAAAGCUUUUGCGGUGGGGGAGGCGCCUGCGGCCUAUCAGCUUGUAGGUAAGGUAAUGGCUUACCUAGGCUAUGACGGGUAGGGGGUGUGAGAGCAUGACCCCCAACAAGGGCACUGAGACACUGGCCCUACUCCUACGGGAGGCUGCAGUCGAGAAUCUUCCGCAAUGGGCGAAAGCCUGACGGAGCGACGCCGCGUGCAGGAUGAAGGCCUUAGGGUUGUAAACUGCUUUUAUAAGAGAAGAAGGCCGCAUCUCACGGUGUGUGAUGCGGAAAUUCGAAGCACGAAAUACGAAAUACGAAACAAACACCAAUGACAAAAUAUAAAUGACAAAAACUGUUUAGAAUUUAUGUCAUUAGAAUUUUGAAUUUGUUUCGAAUUUCGAUAUUCGAAUUUCGAAUUUUUCGCAAUCGCGCUUCGCGCGAUGCGGCUUGACGGUACCUUAUGAAUAAGGGGUUGCUAAACUCGUGCCAGCAGCAGCGGUAAUACGAGUACCCCAAGCGUUAUCCGGAAUCAUUGGGCGUAAAGCGUUCGUAGGCGGUUUUGUUAGUCUUGUGUUAAAUAUCUGGGCUUAACCCAGUUGCUGCGCAAGAAACGGCAAAACUAGAAGGUGUGAGAGGUCUGUGGAACUCAUGGUGUAGGGGUGAAAUCCGUUGAUAUCAUGGGGAACACCAAAGGCGAAGGCAGCAGACUGGCGCAACCUUGACGCUGAGGAACGAAAGCUAGGGUAGCGAACGGGAUUAGAUACCCCGGUAGUCCUAGCCGUAAACUUUG